rnacentral:rRNA from 1 species
UACGGAGGGUGCAAGCGUUAUCCGGAUUUACUGGGUUAAAGGGGGCGCAGGCUGAUAUGUAAGUUCGUGGGGAAAUCUCUAGGCUUAACCUGGAAAUUGCCAUUGAUACUAUAUGUCUUGAAUGCUGUGGAGGUAAGCGGAAUAUGUCAUGUAGCGGUGAAAUGCUUAGAUAUGACAUAGAACACCUAUUGCGAAGGCAGCUUACUACGCAGAUAUUGACGCUCAUGCACGAAAGCGUGGGGAUCAAACAGG